rnacentral:tRNA from 1 species
GGCCCUAUGGUGAAGCGGUUAACACACAUGGUUUUCAUCCAUGCAUUCGCGGGUUCGAGCCCCGCUAGGGUCACCA